AUACUCUGGUUUCUCUUCAGAUUAUAUAAAUCUUUCACCUUACACAAAAGAUUUCAGUGGAGAGGAACAACUCUGGGUCUUUAACCAAUUUUUUGAGGCCUUGCAUUUGCAGGGUU
rnacentral:snRNA from 1 species